AUUGAACGCUGGCGGCAGGCCUAACACAUGCAAGUCGAACGAGUGGCGGACGGGUGAGUAAUGUCUGGGAACCUGCCUGAUGGAGGGGGAUAACUCCUGGAAACGGUAGCUACUACCGCAUACCAUCGGAUGUGCCCUGAUGGGAUUAGCUAGUCGGUGGGGUAACGGCGCACCUAGGCGACGAUCCCUAGCUGGUCUGAGAGGAUGACCAGCCACACUGGAACGGAGACACGGUCCAGACUCCUACGGGAGGCAGCAGUGGGGAAUAUUGCGCAAUGGGCGAAAGCCUGAUGCAGCCAUGCCGCGUGUGUGAAGAAGGCCUUCGGGUUGUAAAGCACUUUCAGCGGGGAGGCGUUACCCGCAGAAGAAGCACCGGCUAACUCCGUGCCAGCAGCCGCGGUAAUAC
rnacentral:rRNA from 1 species